rnacentral:rRNA from 1 species
UUGUUCUUUACCAACCGAGUGGAGAUGUGUGGGGUUUAGGCCCAGGGGUAUUAUUGGUGCUUAGGCACUGGUGAUUACCCUGAGCAGUAUUGUUUUAAAAUGGAUUGAACGAGAGAGUUUGAUCCUGGCUCAGAUUGAACGCUGGCGGCAUGCCUAACACAUGCAAGUCGAACGGUAGCAGGCCUUCGGGUGCUGACGAGUGGCGGACGGGUGAGUAAUGCGUAGGGAAUCUGUCUUUUAGUGGGGGGACAACCCAGGGAAACUUGGGCUAAUACCGCAUGAGCCCUGAGGGGGAAAGCGGGGGAUCUUCGGACCUCGCGCUAAGAGAAGAGCCUACGUCUGAUUAGCUAGUGGUAGGUAAAGGCCUACCAAGGCGACGAUCAGUAGCU